rnacentral:rRNA from 1 species
UACGUAGGGUGCGAGCGUUGUCCGGAAUUACUGGGCGUAAAGAGCUCGUAGGCGGUUUGUCGCGUCUGCUGUGAAAACUCUGGGCUUAACCCAGAGCCUGCAUUCAAUACUGACAGGCUAGAGUUCUGGAGGGGAUAGCGGAAUUCCUGGUGUAGCGGUGAAAUGCGUAGAUAUCAGGAGGAACACCGGUGGCGAAGGCGGAUCUCUGGGCCUGUCCUGACGCUGAGGCGCGAAAGCUAGGGGGAGCGAACAGG